rnacentral:antisense_RNA from 1 species
UGUUAUGGCGGCUGUGCGUGGGGCACCUUCGGGUGCGCCGGGUUCCGUGUGUCCCGGUUCGCCAACCCGCGUACAGCUGCCACCCAU